AGGGUGAACAUUGAAGGAGUUGAUAUUAGUUGUUACCUUUGAACUUUAAGAGCUACCUGGUGACCUAUCUUUUUGUUGACUUUUCCUCGGGUUAACUUCUGACUGGGACAUUUCUAUCAGGGUGCAGGUAAGUCUGCUGUAUUAAAUAGUCUAAUUGGGCAUCCUGCAUUGCCAACUGGGGAAGGUGGUGCUACUCGUGCUCCCAUAGUUGUUGAUUUAACAAGGGAUGCCUCCAUGAGCAGCAAAUCAAUCAUUUUGCAGAUUGAUAGUACAUCUCAGCAAGUUUCUGCAAGUGCUCUCCGGCAUU